UGGGGAAUAUUGCGCAAUGGGGGGAACCCUGACGCAGCCAUGCCGCGUGAAUGAAGAAGGCCUUAGGGUUGUAAAGUUCUUUCGGUAUUGAGGAAGGUUGAUGUGUUAAUAGCACAUCAAAUUGACGUUAAAUACAGGAGAAGCACCGGCUAACUCCGUGCCAGCAGCCGCGGUAAUACGGAGGGUGCGAGCGUUAAUCGGAAUAACUGGGCGUAAAGGGCACGCAGGCGGUUAUUUAAGUGAGGUGUGAAAGCCCCGGGCUUAACCUGGGAAUUGCAUUUCAGACUGGGUAACUAGAGUACUUUAGGGAGGGGUAGAAUUCCACGUGUAGCGGUGAAAUGCGUAGAGAUGUGGAGGAAUACCGAAGGCGAAGGCAGCCCCUUGGGAAUGUACUGACGCUCAUGUGCGAAAGCGUGGGGAGCAAACAGGAUUAGAUACCCUGGUAGUCCACGCUGUAAACGCUGUCGAUUUGGGGGUUGGGGUUUAACUCUGGCGCCCGUAGCUAACGUGAUAAAUCGACCGCCUGGGGAGUACGGCCGCAAGGUUA
rnacentral:rRNA from 1 species